AAAAACAUCAAAAGUAGCUUUGCCUUCAACUGUGUUGGAGACAGCUCAGUCGCUUACUAAGGGUCGAGCUGGUAAGCGGAGGCUUUAUGGGUAGUACCUUCGGAGGUGAUGAGCAUUCCACUAUCUCGGAAUUGCCUUCCUCUCCAGGGUGAUAAGAGUAUAGCUCCUUCUGCCCCCCGAUCGGCUAAUCAUAUAAGGACCUUCCAAACUGGGUUUCAUCUCCUUCGAUCCUUGCCUUUGGGAUGAAAUGAAAGCUUUUCUAAGCACAAGGUCCCUAGGUUGGAAUUGCC
rnacentral:lncRNA from 1 species